rnacentral:tRNA from 1 species
GUCUUUGUAAUGUAGUGGUCAGCACGCUCGACGCGUAACCGAGAGGUCCGUGGUUCGAUUCCCAGCAAAGGCA